AUGAGACUGUGGGGUCUUCUCCUUUGCCUGGUGACAGCUCUCCAAGGUGUCCUGUCCGAGGUGCAGCUGCAGGAGUCGGGCCCAGGACUGGUGAAGCCCUCGCAGACCCUCUCCCUCACAUGCACAGUCUCUGGUGACUCCAUCACAAGCAGCAGUUACUCCUGGCACUGGAUCCGCCAGCCCACGGGGAAGAGCCUUGAGUGGAUGGGAUACAUUAGUUAUAGUGGAAGCACAGGUUAUAACCCGUCCGUCAAGAGCCGCACCUCCAUCACCAGAGACACGUCCAAGAACCAGUUCUCCCUGCAGCUGAGCUCUGUGACCGAUGAGGACACGGCCGUGUAUUUCUGUGCAAGAGACACAGUGACAGGAAGACAGCGUGAGCCCAGGCACAAACCUCCCUGCAGGAUACAGGAGGGGUCUGGGCUGCAGGGGGCGCUCAAGGCCCACCCAGCUCCUGUUCCCCAUGGAGCAGGUUUCCUGUCCAAGUCGCAGCUGCAGGAAACAGGGCUGUGCCUGGUGAGGCCCUCACAGAACCUGUUCCUCACUUGCACUAUUUCUUGA